UCGAAAGCUUGCUUUUGAUGGGCGUCGACCGGCGCACGGGUGAGUAACGCGUGAGCAACCUGCCCUCCACAGGGGGAUAACGCACCGAAAGGUGCACUAAUACCGCAUAAGACCACGUUUCUGACAUGGGAAUGAGGUCAAAGGAGCAAUCCGGUGGAAGAUGGGCUCGCGUCUGAUUAGCUAGUUGGUGAGGUAACGGCCCACCAAGGCUACGAUCAGUAGGGGUUCUGAGAGGAAGGUCCCCACAUUGGAACUGAGAUACGGCCCAGACUCC
rnacentral:rRNA from 1 species